GUUCUAAAUAGACAGCAGAUGGGGAAACACAAGAAAAGUAACAAGCAAGUGAAGAAUGUGUUUAAGGUGGCAGGUGCAAGGAGUUUGAAAUUGAAAAAUAAAGCAAAAUCAGUCACAGUACAACUUAAGAAGUUGAAUGAAGUUACUCGCAAAAAGACAGCAGAAGUUGAUGGACAAUUGACAACUGAAGUGCAGUCUAAACUACUUCAGAAACAAGAAGUGCAGGAAAUUGUUAAUAAGAAAGUUGAUGUGAGAGAGGAACAGAAGAAAUUUCAAGACAUUGAGAAGGAUUCAUCAGAAGCUUUGAACAAGCUCUGUGACAUGCAAGUGAACUGACUUAUAUCAGGCAGUUGAAGUUAGUUUUAUUUUAAAUUGAUGACAGGAGGUAUAUAUUAAGUCUUGUACGUGAAUUGCAAUUUUCUUUGCUGUGUAACAUUUAAGGAAAGAAGAGAUAUUUUGAACGUAAACUGUAAGGAAUAAUUCAUGAGGAAAGUAAAUUUCUAGAUAAGGAUAUCUGAAUGAGAAUCAGUUUAAUUUAGGGACACUGAGUACAUUGGUGGUAAUUUUUAAUAUUAUACAAAAUGGCUUCUUACACUGCUGGCAUUAUUGUAAUUGGGGAUGAAAUAUUAAAAGGCCAAGUUGUUGAUACAAAUUCCAAUUUCUUAUGUAAAAGUCUCCAUUCACUGGGUAUAACGGUGUGUAAAAUAUCAGUUGUGGGUGAUAAUGUUAAUGAGAUAGCAUCUGAGGUGGCAAGAUUUUCAGAGAAAUAUAGCAAGGUAUUUACAAGUGGUGGUGUUGGUCCAACACAUGAUGAUGUUACAUAUCUUGGUGUUGCUCGUGCUUUUGGACGGCAUGUUGAAGUGAACAAGGAGUUGGCUAAAAUAUUAUUGGAUUCAAAUUUUGUGAGUGACAUCAGUGAUGUUGAUGCUAAUCCUGCUUUGAAGAUUGCUCAGGUUCCCCAGCUAUCAAGUCUGAUUUAUUUGAAGCCUGUAGGUUACUGUCAUGACCCAUCAUUGUUAUAUUCCAGUACUUUUCCAGUAGUUAAAGUUGCUAAUGUGUACAUUUUUCCUGGAAUACCAAAAUAUUUUGAAUAUGCUGUUACCAACUUGGAGCACCUGUUCAAGAACCCUGACGGUGACAGAUUUUACACACGGGAACUGUACCUCAGGAGCGAAGAGUUAGAUAUUGUUCCUGUGCUUAAUCACACUGUUGACAAAUUUAAAGGCUCAGUUGUAUUUGGUAGUUACCCACAGCUUGGUAAUGACAUUUACAUGACAAAGGUGACACUUGAGUCAAUUUCGAGCCAGCAGUUGGAAGAAGCAGAAUCCUAUCUUUGCAUGAAGCUGCCUGCUGGAACUGUCGUUGAUCCCCUGGAGGAAAGUGUGUACUGGAUGGUGGAAGAGGCCCCCAAAAGAGGGCUGUCUGCAGCAGUCACUGAGUCUGUGAAGAUUCUCGAGAAAUGCUUUGAUAAGUUCAGCCCUUCAGAGAUUUUCCUGAGCUUUAAUGGUGGGAAGGAUUGCACAGUCCUGCUACAUCUUGCCACAGCUGUGCUGCGCAGAAAGUUUCCAUCCCUGAAGAAACCACUACAGGCUGUGUACAUACAGCCACAGGAUCCAUUUCCUCAAGUUGAAGAAUUUGUUGUUGAGUCAGUGAAAAGAUAUAACCUAGAACUGAAGACAGUUCCUGGUCCAAUCACACAUGCUCUUGAGGUUGUAUUAGCGGAGAAACCUGAGCUGAAGGCAGUGCUUAUGGGCACAAGAAGAACAGAUCCCUACUCUGCGAUGAUGAAUUCUUUUCAGAUGACAGACUCAGGCUGGCCUCAAAUUAUGCGUGUGAGCCCAUUGCUGAACUGGAGUUACCAAAGUGUGUGGACAUUCCUCCGGGACCUGUCAGUACCCUACUGUAGUCUCUAUGAUGAGGGAUACACUUCACUGGGUAGCAGCCGUAACACAGCCCCCAACCCUGCACUGAGUUAUGUUGACAGUAAUGGGACUGUCCAUUACUGCCCUGCCUACAUGCUUCAGGAUGGUGCGAGUGAAAGAAAUGGGAGACACUGAAAGAUCAUAUCACCAUCUGCUAUAGACAGACUCCCACACAAGUUGUGGUUAACACAGAAUUUUAGUGAGAAAAAAUCUUUGUAUAAAGAAAAGGAGGUGUGAGAAGAGUGAAAAAUUGUUUGAGGACAUGAGCUGAAUUGAAUUGAAUCGUGUCCAGGAGUUACCAGUUAUAAUUAUGGAUCUGCAUACUGUUUCAUCAGCUGAAGAACUAGAGCAACUUGUGGCCAUCGCUUUUGGUCCAGAGGGUCGAGCAGUGAUGGUGCAGCAACCUACUGGUCAGUUUAACAUUACUCGUAGCGGCUACAGUAUUUUAAUGUCUGUCUACCCAGAGCCUGACCCCAAGAAGCCAGCACAACGUAUCCUCAUUGAUUCUGCCAGAAGAGUGCUUGAAUCCCUGGGAGAUGGUGUGAAAAGUUUUAUAAUAAUGACAUCAUCACUUCUGAAGUAUUGUGAAUCCCUUGACAAUCCAGUACGUGUUGCAAGACAGGUAGGAGCACUGGGAAUGCAGUUAAAUGUAUUUCAUUCCCAAAGAGCAGAACUUCCUGUGGUUACUGACAGUGUUCUGAAAGAGAGAAUUGUUUGCUUUGAAACAGUUGUUCAUACUUUCUUUUCUACUCGAUUCCCAGCCCCUGUUAGCAAUACCCUUUCCUUGUUAUUGUGUCAGUGGAUUCUUUCUAACAUGGGCAAUACUCUGGAGUUGAAAAUGCAGUCUUAUUCGCAGCACACACUGCAGAAUUUACUAAAAGAUUUUUCAAUGCUCUGUCAGUACAAGAGUGGGGGAUCUAGACCAGUUUCCGAGUCUUGCAUCCAACAAGGCUACAGAGUGUACCAACCUGCUGUUAAUCUGACAGUGUCUGGUCCAUGCGCUAUACAGUUCUUAAUGCUUGGUGAUAGUGACUGUCCAGAUAGCGGUUGUUUUGAUGAUAUUGACAUUCAGAGUGAAGUAGAGAGAUUUCUUCUUAGUCUUGAGAGACAAGGCUGCGAAGAUGAAAAAAUUUUACUUGUGACAUCGGCAGUAUUGUCUGAUCUAACAUUGUUUCGUUUAAGACGUUUAAACAUUGCGAUUCUACAAGGAGUCCUACCAGAAGAAGUCAGUUACAUAUAUUCAGCUUUAUUUCAUUUCCAGCAGGGUGAUUUAAAAAGAACAAUAAUCAAUGUAAAACCUGAAGUGGACUGUACAUGGUUGGAGAUCCCAAAUAUUUAUCAACUUUUCCUGCAUGCACCAACAUUGGAACUGCGUGCUGAAUAUGCCUGCUCCUGUCAGAGUGCCAUCAGACUUUGCAUUGCUGCUGCUUCUCAUGCAGUGAUGACUGAUUUCAGGCCCUGUGUAAUGAGAGCUGGAGGAUGUUUUGAAAGAAUCCUUGAAAUGCAUCUUGCAUUCAAAUGUGGAAAGAGCCUGCAUGAUCCUCUGGCAUGCAGGGAGGCAAAUCGUGUGGAAUUAUUAGAAUGGCAUAAACAGUACCAAGUACUUUCUGACAAGAAUUCACAAAGUAUUGCCACUGGAAGUGACACUUGCAGAAAGAAAAGUGGGAGUCAGGUAAAACAUUUUUGUGAGGUUGCUGUUAACAGUAUUGUCUGUUGUACCACAGAUCACGUUCUGUGCAGUCUAAGUGAAGCCUGCGUUGGGCUCGAUGAAGAUGUGGUAGGGGCGAUCGUGAAAGCUUUACUUGCAAUACGGAGAAGAUUACCUCAUCCUGACAAGAUGACACAGAGUUCUGCUUUGGAACCUGUGGGCAUGAAACUUUGUAUUUUGCAACAUUCACUGUGUACUGCUGCUAGUCUGCUUAAAGUGUGUGGCAUCUUACAGACCAGGAAAAAGUUGCCACCAUAGUGGUGGACAAAGUGGCACCAGAACAGAUUUUCUCUUACUACCUAUAUAUAUCUUUGUCAGUUGUUACCUCACCAGGGUUCCUUACUUGUUAAUCACCACUCCUGAGCUGUGCGACAGACCCAACAUGCCAGUAUGUUAUCACAGUCCUCAGUAAAGUUCUGCACAAGUCUCGGCCUGGUCCUCGUAGCACAGAUAAUGUUUGGGUCUGGGCAAAAUUUGAGCCUGGUUCAGACAAUAGCAAUCAAACAUUAUAUAGAAAACUUUCAGCAGCCAUUCUUUAUUUUGCAAAGAGGAAUUCUAAAAUUUUGCCCUGUGCAGACCUCUAGUCCUCUGUUGGGACUCACUGCAGACCUGAUAUUUGC